rnacentral:rRNA from 1 species
UGGGGAAUAUUGGACAAUGGGCGAAAGCCUGAUCCAGCAAUGCCGCGUGAACGAUGAAGGCCUUAGGGUUGUAAAGUUCUUUUGUCAGGGAAGAUAAUGACGGUACCUGAAGAAUAAGCACCGGCUAACUUCGUGCCAGCAGCCGCGGUAAUACGAAGGGUGCUAGCGUUGUUCGGAAUCACUGGGCGUAAAGCGCGCGUAGGCGGCUUAACAAGUCAGAGGUGAAAGCCUGGAGCUCAACUCCAGAACUGCCGUUGAAACUGUUAAGCUUGAGUGUCGGAGGGGAUAGCGGAAUUUCUAAUGUAGAGGUGAAAUUCGUAGAUAUUAGAAGGAACACCGGUGGCGAAGGCGGCUAUCUGGACGACAACUGACGCUGAGGCGCGAAAGCGUGGGGAUCAAACAGGAUUAGAUACCCCGGUAGUCCCUGAGCGGGCUGGCAAGGCGCAU